AUGGACAUGGGGGGAACCUNAGCUGUACAUGCCGCGUGUGUGAAGAACGCCUUAUUGUUGUAAAGCACUUUAAGCGAGGAGGAGGCUACUUAAGAUUAAUACCUAGAGAUAGUGGACGUUACUCGCAGAAUAAGCACCGGCUAACUCUGUGCCAGCAGCCGCGGUAAUACAGAGGGUGCAAGCGUUAAUCGGAUUUACUGGGCGUAAAGCGCGCGUAGGCGGCUAAUUAAGUCAAAUGUGAAAUCCCCGAGCUUAACUUGGGAAUUGCAUUCGAUACUGGUUAGCUAGAGUGUGGGAGAGGAUGGUAGAAUUCCAGGUGUAGCGGUGAAAUGCGUAGAGAUCUGGAGGAAUACCGAUGGCGAAGGCAGCCAUCUGGCCUAACACUGACGCUGAGGUGCGAAAGCAUGGGGAGCAAACAGGAUUAGAUACCCUGGUAGUCCAUGCCGUAAACGAUGUCUACUAGCCGUUGGGGCCUUUGAGGCUUUAGUGGCGCAGCUAACGCGAUAAGUAGACCGCCUGGGGAGUACGGUCGCAAGACUAAAACUCAAAUGAAUUGACGGGGGCCCGCACAAGCGGUGGAGCA
rnacentral:rRNA from 1 species